AUGAUAUCAGUAGAAGUGACCAAAUGCGUCAGAUUCUGGCAACUAUGUGCAUCUUUAAUUUUAACAAGCAACGCAACCAUUCGUAUGUGUUUUUUGUUGUAUUGUAACUUUCAGCGGUUCUUAUGGAUAAAUGUCAUAUUUUUGUUUUAAACUCAAUUUUAGAGAAAGUGCAUGCAAGGACAAAAUGGAAGCAAAAUUUCUGCAGGAUCACAAUACUUGCAAAGCUUUGAUUCUAUUCUCAAAGUGAUCGCUACAAAAUUCCCACUAGAAAAAACCAAAGUUAGAAUAGAAGGAAGCAAGGUUCAACUCAAACCGUGGAUAAUAUUGACGGCCAUGUUAGUGCUUUCGCUGUAACUUGUGCAAGGAAGUCAGUGAUUGCAACAUUUUUUCUUUUUUUGUUUUUUCUUUUUGAAGCAAGUCAUCUUGUAUUGCAUCUGGAUGCACAAAUCCAUUAUCAAAAAAGAUUCCUGGGAUUACUUUUCAAGCGUCAGACAGGAAAAUGCUGAAACUCCUCCACAACUUAAGGACCAAAAGUGUGAUCCUGGCCAACAUCAAUAUUUCCUUUUGUUGAGUAUGUAUUUACAUUCUUUAUUCCUAGACUUUGUAAGGAAGGGGGUAUAUUAUUUUAUUUAUAUAUUUAUUUUGUUGCUGGUGGUCUGGAAAUUAGAUCAUUCCAUAUAUUCUAUAUAUAUGGAUAUUCAGACUUUGAACUUCAUACUGUAUUGAUAUGAUAAUCAGUAACAAAAAAAUCAAAACUUUAGUACACUUGGUGGGAACCACCAUGAAAUUACAUCCAGAAGUAUAGAAAUCGGAAAUUUAUUACUUUAAAAAAAUGGAACUUCAUUGUUCCAUGUGUAAAAUAAAAUCUCACAGAAACUGAAAAAUAUAAAAAAGAAAUUAAUUUACUUGUGUAAAAAUACAUUUAAAAAAUCAAUAAAUUACUUGCUUAUAUUACUUCAAGGGAUAUAAAACUGUUUAUUUAUGUAAAAGAAUAUGUUGCCAAAUAAAAAUAGAUUAAGUAGCAAUUUAUCAUUUCUGCUAAUUUUAAUAUUUCCUUUCUAAAACAUUACUUGGGUUGGGACAUUUCCAGUGCAUUAGAGGGCUGAACUGACUACAUUUAUAUUAUUGACCACCAAUUGUUACUUUACGUUGAAAUAUGAAAUGUAUCCAGAUGAUCAUUUCAUUUAAUAAACAGAUAAAAACUGUUUCCUUUAUUAAAGGCAUAUUUUGAAAAUUACUUUUUAAUGAUUUCAUUAGUUUGAUCCAUUAUUUUUUAAUGAUUUCAGUGCCCAAAUGGAUAAAGCCGGACAAUACCAGUAGUUCAUCCACUGUUUGAAUUUGACUCCUACGUUUCCCUUCCUCUUGGUAGUAAAGAACAGAUUUAUAGAUUUGAAUUACAAAGGAUAUAUUAUUAUAGACUGAAAACCCAUUUUUGUUUAAUUUCUAUUAAUUCUUCUUUAUUCUAUCCUAAAUAUGUCACAGCAAAAAAUAAGUAUUAGAAAAUUUACGACAACUGUCAUAAAUCAAAAUGCUACCUUACAAUUGUUGUCUCAAAUUUUUUACUUUAAUUACUAUGAACAUUAGAAUGUAAGAAUAUUUAAUAACCACGAUAUUUAUUAUAGGCAUAAGGAUUCUUGAAUAUUUAUUAUGGGCAUAAUUGAAGAAAUUUAAGAAAAAGCACGGUGAAAAUUUGCUUGGAAACAGAUAUAAUAGUUAAAUGAUUGUUAAAUAUAACACAAAUAUGGAUCAUUAAAAAGUAAAUCAAAUAUAUAUCAGGGGAUUUAAUUUCAUUAAUAAACUCAAAAAUACUUCAUUAAUAAAGUUAUAAUUAGUAAAAAUGUGUGAAAAUAUUUAUAUAGAGAUCACAUUUGAUUAGAUUAAAUAGGAGCAAGCUAUUAAAUCUCUGCUGCUUUUCAGCAUUCGUUAGGAGCAAAUAUAAAAAAUUUGUUCAUGGUGUUAAAAUUUAUACACAGUAGUUAUGCUUUCAUCAAUCAUUAUAAUAAAAUAAAAGCAAAAUAUAAAUAUGCCCAUCAAUUCUGUAUGUGAUUCUCGCUUUACCGUAUUUAAAUCAUGCCUUUACCACACUUAGAUGUUUAAAAAAAAUCUGUGACUUUUAAAUUGGAUUUUAGAAUUAGGAUAUAUUAAAACUUCAACUACCUUGACUACUUUUUUCAUCAAAAUUGAAUGAUAUUUUUAAAAAGUCCAGAAUCACAGAAUGUAGGCGGAACACAAUUUUUAAGUGAGCAGACUCUUAAAUUGUAUUUCCUAAGAAUAAGAACAUGAACAUUUACGAAAAAUGGGUAUAAGGACAUAUAUGGUAUAAUUAUAAAUAAUUGAUUUAAAAAGGAUCAUUCAUUGCAUUUAAAUACAUUUAAUCGAAGCAAAAAAUAAGCUUAAUCUCCUUGUGUAAUUAACCAAAUUUAGUUCUUUCUGCUGUGCUGAAAGCUGAAGUGGAAAUUUUUCACUUCCAUUUAUGACAAUUAAAUACACUUUGCUCAGGGAUAAAUACAAUAUACUUUGUUCAAUCACUUCCACACUUAAAUAUGACAAGUUUUGAACUUGGUUUCAUACAUAUUAACAACAGCUUUGACAACAACCACACUGAUGGUUCUACAUCUAUAAAUCUUCUUAAUACACACUAUACAUUUAUUUUCUCAUAAGAUAGAACAGGCAAGAAUCAUAGUAAGUAGGAACAAUGUUUAUAAAAGACAAUUUUUAACAUUGGAUCUUCUUUCUUCUUCCCAUAUAAAUUUAUUAACCUAACAAACAUCAUGUCUAUGAAAAUCAUUAUGCAACUUUUAUUUUGACAGCCACUAGGUCAUAAACAUAUGUUUUCACUCACAAAAAUGCUUUAAGUAGGGAAAAUAUUCAUGUUGUAGUAGUAAAUUUUGAAGAAAUAAUUAAAUUUAAUUUUCUAUACAAUCCUCCAGUCACACUUCUUAAAAAUUCAUUCUUUUUCUAAAUAAAGCAGUAAAAAAUAAUUGACUCCCAUAGAACAAAAAUAAUUUUAAAGUAUGAGAUACUGAAAAGCAAUAUAUUUGCAGACUGAAGUAUAUGUUCAUGAUCAAUGAUUGCAAAAAUAAAAAGUUGCAUAAGAACUUUAAUGGGCAUAAUGCAUAAUUAGUAUAAUUUGGACAAAAGGAAAUUUGGUUUAGUGUACACCAAAGGCUGUUAAAAUGAUUAUAUCAUAAUUGUUUUCAGUCUGAGAUAAAAAAAAAAUGUAGCCUUACACUUUCAGCUUCUAAUCUGGUUAUUAACUUUCUGCUUUUUGCAGCAAAUGUAAAUAUAAAUAAUUGCCACAGAUACCAUAAAAAUGUAUCAUGUACUUUUAAAUAAAUGCAUAAUAUUGAAGAAGAAAACAUGAUCUGACAACUAUUAACAAAGCAUCAGACUUAUUUUAUUUGCUUUAUACAAUUAUGUACAAAAUUCACUUCCAAAACAAAGAAUAUGCACAAUAUUGAAAUAUAGCAUCAACAUAAGUAUGCAUUGGACACAAAGUAACAACCUCAAAAGAUUUUACAAAAAAUUUGUUUGAAAAUCAUACUUUUUUUUUUACAUACAUUGAGCUAGAGUACUGAAAAAGACUUGAGUUAUAUAUUAAGAAGCAUUAAUCUUCGCAGCUAUUAAAUCUCGCAAAAGCGCUGAUACCGGAAAGAGAAAAUUUGGCACUUAUAAACCAUGUAAUUCCUACACUGUAUUAUUAAAAAAUGUAAGCCUAAAUGCUUAACAACAUCUAUAAAUUGUUUAGAGAACAACAAAAUGAAUUAAAAGUAUAAAAGCUAAAAUAUAUUUAUUAAUUUUUCCCCCCAAGGAUCUUUUUUUUUUUAAAGAGUUUCUAAAGUUUCUUCUUCCGGAUGAUACUAUUAAGAAAAGUAAGGCACUUUCCAAAUGCAAGACGGCAAAAAAAUUUGGCACGCUUAUUUUCCCUGCAACUCUAAAGAGCUACUGAAAUAUCUUGAAGUUAUUCACUCAGAAUAUUAAGUAGAUAAUGCAAAAGGCAAAACUGCUUAAGCAUUGGAAAUGUAUGUAUUACGAGUAAUUUAUUGGAAAAUCGAGUCAUGAGGAAGACUCAAGUUCUAAUAACUACACUAUUAAACAAGACCUAUUAUCACUGUUUGUCCAUCAUUCAUAAAAACUUCCUCAUUUACUGGAACAUUUUACACAAAAUGUAGGUUUCUCAAAAUGUCUUAGCAUUUGAAAAGAAUCAUCAUUUGCUAUGUUUGAUAGGUAAUAGUGAAAUUAUAAAAACAAAUAUUACUUGCAUGUUGUUGUUGUUGUUUUCCAACUGCAAAACUAAGCAUAAAAAUUCAUACAGAUAACUAAGGGAAAAGAACACCAAACAAUACAAUUUUUCUAAAAAGUAAAAUUAACAGCAUCAAUAUUUUGUUUUAAAUAUGUACAUUAAAAUCUGAAUGAAUGGUAUGUUUAAAAAAUUAACACAUUAGUUAAAUUCCUUUGUUUACAAAAAAAUUUUCUGUCACAUACAUAAAAUAUGAAGUUGUCAUAUUCCAAUAAAAUAUCAAAAUACAUUAAAAUACUUUACACACUAUUAAGUAAAUUAAAAGGAAUCUUGAAUAUCUCUACACAUUACAGUUAUAAACAAAAUCCACAAGACAUUCUAGAAUACUUACAAACAGAUCACAGUAAUGCCAAACAUCUUAAAUCCUCCAUAACUUCAGUAGUCAAUAUAAAGCAAAAUUCCAACAGAUGCUACUGCUUUACACUGAAGCAUCAUGUUCAAUGAGUCCAUCUACAUAUAAAUGAACUUACAGACUUGAAAUGUUCAUUGAUUGCAGUGACAAAUAAUCUGUGCAUCAGUAUUAUAAAUCCUAUCUUUCCAGGUUUAAUGACUUAGCACAAAUGAAGCAGUGCCUCUUCCAUAAAAAUUAAUUAAUUUUUUCAAAAAUUAGAUUAUGAACAUUGGAAUAACUUUAUACAUUGGUCAUUUACAAAAUAAAUAAAAGUACAAUCAAAGGAAAAUAUGCUGAUCAUUCGCCUUUCAAUUCCACAGAUUUUAAUCACAAAAUAAAAGCACACAAGAAAACAAAUACCUAAAAAGAUUUUUUGUUUGUUUUGUUCCAGAAGAAUACAAAUAUAGCACUAUAGGGAAUAGAUUCUUCUUCACUGAAUUUUUAAAAGUUUUCUUUAAUGACGUAUUUAACUUCCCAUAAGUGAAUAAAAGUACCAAGAUAACCAAGUUCAUGACCAGAUGAUGAUUUCACAUUUAAUUUUUCCUAAGAUUGCUUCCUGCAGCUAUCACAGCCAAGGAAAAUGUGGACUCCUUUUUUUUUUUAAUCUUUUUUUUACACAAUGUUACAAAUUAUUCUAUACAGUUGAUAAUUCAGGUAAUGUUCACCUUGCAAGAAACUGGUACAAGGUUAGCAAUAGCAAUGACAUUGUUGU